UGGACAAGGCAUGCUGCGAGAGUCAUACAUGAGAUGGAAUCAUUUGACACCAUUUUAGCUCAGUGGAAGCGGUCAUGCUACACCUCUGAUGUUCAAUCAGAUCAUGAAAUCACAAAAAGACAGCGAAAACGAAAAUCCUAUUCUUCAUCAGAAGAGAAGAGCCCAGACCGCGGGCCACCAAAACAAAA